UACGGAGGGGGCUAGCGUUGUUCGGAAUCACUGGGCGUAAAGCGCACGUAGGCGGAUGUGUCAGUCAGGGGUGAAAUCCCGGAGCUCAACUUCGGAACUGCCCUUGAUACAGCACGUCUUGAGUCCGGAAGAGGUGGGUGGAAUUCCUAGUGUAGAGGUGAAAUUCGUAGAUAUUAGGAAGAACACCGGUGGCGAAGGCGGCCCACUGGUCCGGUACUGACGCUGAGGUGCGAAAGCGUGGGGAGCAAACAGG
rnacentral:rRNA from 1 species